GUGCCAGCCGCCGCGGUAAUACGUAGGGGUCGAGCGUUGUCCGGACUUACUGGGCGUAAAGCGUGGGUAGGUGGUCGGUGAUGUGCCGUGUGAAAGCCCCGCGUUCAUCGGGGGGAGGUCGCGGUAGACACAUUGACUUGAGGCAUACAGAGGGCCGUGGAAUUCCCGGUGUAGUGGUGAAAUGCGUAGAUAUCGGGAGGAACACCAGUGGCGCAAGCGGCGGCCUGGGUAUGACCUGACACUGAGCCACGACGGCGUGGGGAGCAAACGGGAUUAGAUACCCGUGUAGUCC
rnacentral:rRNA from 1 species